GAUGAACGCUGGCGGCGUGCCUAAUACAUGCAAGUAGAGCGCACGGGCGGGAAGCUUGCUUUUUGGAUGUUAGCGGCGGGGGGGUGAGUCACACGGGGAAAACCUACCUAUAAGACUGAGAACACUUCGGGAAGAUGGAUAUAAUACCGGAUAAGUAUUUGAACCACAAGGUUCGAAAGAAAAAUACGAUUUUGCUACUACUUAUAGAUGGUUCCUCGCUGCAUUAGCUAGUUGGUAAGGUAACGGCUUACCAAGGCAACGCUGAAUAGCCGACCUGAGAGGGUGAUGGGCCACCCGGGAACUGAGACACGGCCCAGACUCCUACGGGAGGCAGCAGUAGGGAAUCUUCCGCAUUGGGCGAAAUCCUGCCGGAGCAACGCCGCGUGAGUGAUGAAGGUCUUCGGAUCGUAAACCUCUUUUAUUAGGGAAGAAGAUAUGUGUAAGUAACUGUGCACAUCGUGACGGUACCUAAUCAGAAAGCCACGGCUAACUACGUG
rnacentral:rRNA from 1 species